UUUUAUAUAACCUCGUGGAUGAGGAUUAUAAAAAUACCUUCAAAAAAGAAGAAGUGUCCAAGCAGAUUGGCCUGAUAGUAGGUGAAGAAGCUACAACAUGCAAAAAACAUUGGAAAGGUUUGCGUGACCAUUAUGGAAGGUGCAAACGUGCAGAGAAUCUUCCGUCAGGAAGCUCUGCAUGCAAGAGGCCGAAGUGGAAACACUAUUAACAGAUGUCCUUUUUGACAAUUAUCUAUACUGCCAGAGAACGUGGAGCAGUAUUUCCGAGGCCGACCAAUGCUUUAUUGAGGUGCAGGAAGAAAGGUCAGAGCAAGCCCAUUUUGCACCACCACCUCAACCGAGACGCCAAAAU